CCGUAGUCUAAUGGAUAAGACGCACGCCUCCGGAGCGUGAGAUUCCGGGUUCGAGUCCCGGCG
rnacentral:ncRNA from 12 species